rnacentral:rRNA from 1 species
AUUGAACGCUGGCGGCAGGCUUAACACAUGCAAGUCGAGCGGGGAAAGGUAGCUUGCUACUUUACCUAGCGGCGGACGGGUGAGUAAUGCUUAGGAAUCUGCCUAUUAGUGGGGGACAACAUCUCGAAAGGGAUGCUAAUACCGCAUACGUCCUACGGGAGAAAGCAGGGGACCUUCGGGCCUUGCGCUAAUAGAUGAGCCUAAGUCGGAUUAGCUAGUUGGUGGGGUAAAGGCCUACCAAGGCGACGAUCUGGAGCGGGUCUAAGAGGAUGAUCCGCCACACUGGGACUGAGACACGGCCCAGACUCCUCCGGGAGGCAGCAGUGGGGAAUAUUGGACAAUGGGGGGAACCCUGAUCCAGCCAUGCCGCGUGUGUGAAGAAGGCCUUUUGGUUGUAAAGCACUUUAAGCGAGGAGGAGGCUACCGAGAUUAAUACUCUUGGAUAGUGGACGUUACUCGCAGAAUAAGCACCGGCUAACUCUGUGCCAGCCGCCGCAGUAACAC